rnacentral:tRNA from 1 species
GCCCUAGUAGCUCAGUGAUUAAGAGCAUCGAUCUUGUAAAUCGAAGGCCGGAGGCUCGAUAUCUCCCUAGCGCA